rnacentral:rRNA from 1 species
ACCAACCUCGCGGACGGGCAUAGCCGGGGGAAACCCCGGGUAAUUCCCGGCGACGCGGCGAACCGGCAUCGGUUUGCCGCCAAAGGCUUCGGCCGCCGCGAGACGGGCCGUCGUGGUAUUAGGUGGUUGGCGGGGUGACGGCCCACCAAGCCUGCGAUGCCUACCGGGUGUGAGAGCAUGGCCCGGCACACUGGGACUGAGACACUGCCCAGACUCCUACGGGAGGCUGCAGUCGAGAAUCUUCGGCAAUGGGCGCAAGCCUGACCGAGCGACGCCGCGUGGAGGACGAAGGCCUUCGGGUUGUAAACUCCUGUCGAGGGGGAGGAAGGCGCAAGCUUGACCGAUCCCUGGAGGAAGCACGGGCUAAGUUCGUGCCAGCAGCCGCGGUAAGACGAACCGUGCGAACGUUAUUCGGAAUUACUGGGCUUAAAGCGCGUGUAGGCGGGCCGGCACGUCCGACGCUGAAAUCCCCCGGCUCAACCGGGGAAGUGGCGGGGAUACGACCGGCCUCGAGGGGGGUAGGGGGACCUGGAACUUCCGGU